CAGGGCAUUUGAACAUCUGCUCUCCAAAGUGGAAAACUUGGAUCUGUCUCAAGUGAUUUCAGUCCAACACAUAACUUUCUUUUUCUGCCUCUUUUAAACUUCUUGGAGUGCCAAAGUCUUCUUGCCAAACAUAAUGGCUAUCUGCUAUAUUUUAACAAGACAAUGGAGCUAAAGUAUAUUCUUCAGUCCAAAGUUUUCCAUCAGAAAUAACACAAAGGGACGCUCAGGUUUUUUAAUCCCAGUAUUUCCAAAUCAUUCGAAAUGAAAUCGUCUCCAUUGUGGUCCCUAGACCAACACUGGCAUCACCUGGGGCCUUGUUGGAAACGCAGAGACACAGGCUCACCCAGACCUGCUGGAUUAAAGGUCCACAGAUGCAGCCGGAGAAGCCCUGGCAGACCAGGUGACCGAGGCAGGAGACAGACCUUCAGUGGACUGCACCAACAGACUCCCUUGUCCCCUGGCUUUGGUUGGGUACAGUCAAUGGAAGAAAACAGCAGGGGAGAGGAAUCAGAGAAG